rnacentral:rRNA from 1 species
AUUGAACGCUGGCGGCAUGCCUUACACAUGCAAGUCGAACGGUAACAGGUCUUCGGAUGCUGACGAGUGGCGAACGGGUGAGUAAUACAUCGGAACGUGCCUAGUAGUGGGGGAUAACUACUCGAAAGAGUGGCUAAUACCGCAUGAGAUCUAUGGAUGAAAGCAGGGGAUUGCAAGACCUUGUGCUACUAGAGCGGCCGAUGGCGGAUUAGGUAGUUGGUGGGAUAAAAGCUUACCAAGCCGACGAUCUGUAGCGGGUCUGAGAGGACGAUCAGCCACACUGGGACUGAGACACGGCCCAGACUCCUACGGGAGGCAGCAGUGGGGAAUUUUGGACAAUGGGCGCAAGCCUGAUCCAGCAAUGCCGCGUGCAGGAUGAAGGCCUUCGGGUUGUAAACUGCUUUUGUACGGAACGAAAAGCCCUGGGUUAAUACCCUGGGGUCAUGACGGUACCGUAAGAAUAAGCACCGGCUAACUACGUGCCAGCCGCCGCCGUAACAC